rnacentral:tRNA from 1 species
GGGGGUAUAGCUCAGUGGCAGAGCGUCCGCUUUGCAUGCGGAAGGCCCGGGAUUCGAUCUCCCGUACCUCCA